rfam:Emmonsia pasteuriana TAMH 9510 supercont1.36, whole genome shotgun sequence.
GCGCCAGUGGUCCAAUGGUUAGGAUUCUUGCCUUCCACUCCGACUAAAAUGUUAGUUUGAUGUUGAAAAAAAUAGAGCAUGAGGCCCGUGUUCGAUUCACGGCUGGCGCA